rnacentral:rRNA from 1 species
GAUGAACGCCUGGGCGGCGUGCAUAACACAUUCAAGUCGAACGGACUGAGUUCGGAAGCUUGCUUCCGAUGAAAGUUAGUGGCGGACGGGUGAGUAACGCGUGAGCAACCUGCCCCUUUGUGUGGAAUAACGUUUGGAAACGAACGCUAAUACCGCAUAACGCAUGGGAAUCGCAUGUUUCCUAUGCCAAAGAUUUAUUGCAGAGGGAUGGGCUCGCGUCUGAUUAGAUAGUUGGUGAGGUAACGGCUCACCAAGUCGACGAUCAGUAGCCGGACUGAGAGGUUGAACGGCCACAUUGGAACUGAGAAACGGUCCAG